rnacentral:tRNA from 1 species
GUGGGGUAUAGCAGUUGGUAUCUCAGUGGUCUCAUAAGCCAAAGGUCGUCGGUUCGAGUCCGACCCCACGCA